GACGAACGCUGGCGGCGUGCUUAACACAUGCAAGUCGAACGGAAAGGCCCUGCUUUUGUGGGGGGCUCGAGUGGCGAACGGGUGAGUAACACGUGAGUAACCUGCCCUUGACUUUGGGAUAACUUCAGGAAACUGUGGCUAUUACCGGAUAGGAGCUCCUGCUGCAUGGUGGGGGUUGGAAAGUUUCGGCGGUUGGGGAUGGACUCGCGGCUUAUCAGCUUGUUGGUGGGGUAGUGGCUUACCAAGGCUUUGACGGGUAGCCGGCCUGAGAGGGUGACCGGCCACAUUGGGACUGAGAUACGGCCCAGACUGCUACGGGAGGCAGCAGUGGGGAAUAUUGCACAAUGGGCGGAAGCCUGAUGCAGCAACGCCGCGUGCGGGAUGACGGCCUUCGGGUUGUAAACCGCUUUCGCCUGUGACGAAGCGUGAGUGACGGUAAUGGGUAAAGAAGCACCGGCUAACUACGUG
rnacentral:rRNA from 1 species